GCAUUUCUGAGUGAACACUGCUGGUUCAUUCACUAUUUUUAUGUCUGCUGUCACAUGAUAUGACGUCAUGACGUGCGGCCCUAACUGACGUUACCAGUAAAAUAUAUCCAAGAUGGCUACCCUCUCAAGUUACGUGGUAUCAAGCAUGAAACAACUUGAGGACCAGAUGGUGAUCCAUGAGCCUGAUGAAAGUGAUGCCUUACAGGAAUGGAGAGCUUUACGGCAACAGCAGGAUGCAGAAUAUGCUCCGUCCCUUUGAAUUGAUCAAUAAAAGAUUCAAAGAAGGCCUGGAGUGUUUGCAGCUUCUGGAACAUGUUGAAAAGCAUCCCAAUCUCUUUAGAGGAGUGCUAAUGUUCGAGGAGAAGCCACUUAUGGCAAGAGAUUUAGCUGAGCUUUUUAUUCCACGGCUGUCUCCAGUUGGCACCAACAGACGAGUACUGGAGAACAGAAUAUACUGUUUCUGGAGGGACUGGCUCCUACAUGUGAAAGGCAACAUUAUAUAAUAGGUUAUAUUAUACAAAUUAUACACUAGAUAACAUAAUGCAAUCGUGGUGGUCCUUUUGGUUUCUCCCAUUUCAACAGAGUAACUAAUUACAUCUACACCUGUAACUCUUUGCAGCUGCCACUAGAAGCUCUGAAUUGCCAUUUGUUAAUCAUAAUUUGAGCAUUCAUAAACAAAAUUUGUUACAGGAAUAAAUGCCUACUGAAGCGAAGUUAUGGGUUGUUGUAAGAAAAAUAUCCAUAUCUAAAAAAAAAUGAUGAAAACCUAAAUGAUUUGUUUUUAUUAUUAUUAUUAUUUUCCUCAGAGGGAGCUUCAUCACCUCUUACUCUAAGACAGGUUUUGGCAUUUGCUUCUGGAUCAACUUCUAUCCCUGGACUGGGUUUCCCUGUCGAACCGACAAUAGAGUUUCUGCAUCAAGAGGAAAGUGAUCAGCCAAGAUAUUCCCCGAAGCAAAUACAUGUAGUAUUGUUUUGAGUCUGCCCGUGCAUCAUGUAUUUGAAGACUUUGGGGAUUAUAUGAAGAAGGCAUUUUACAGGCACCCACAUUUGGGGUAAUGAAGUUUGAUUACUCACCCCAUUACAUAUUGUUAUUUCUUCUUUCUUGUUUUAUGGCAUUCGUUGUGAAAAAGGACUAAACAGAUCUACAUGUAUUUCUAAAUAUAGUGAUGAAUAAAAUUCUUUAUUCAUAGCACCAGCUAACAAAAAUUUGGAUCUUGUGUUAAAGAACUCAUUCCACUCACUCAUGCGUCAAUUUGUGAUGUUGAAAUUUAUAUAAUUUAUAUAUAUAAUAUAUAAUAAGUCUGGUAUUGUGCAUUUUCAAUGACUGUCAUAGUUUAUAUAACGUUCAUGUUAUACUGACAACAAAAUUAACUAUUGAAUUCUUACAAAAAUUUCAACAAAUGUUCAUAUAUCAUUGCCUGUUUUCCUGCAGGUGCUAAACACUCUUUAGUUUCCCCUCAUCUGCA